GACGAACGCUGGCGGCGUGCCUAAUACAUGCAAGUAGAACGCAGUUGCGAACGGGUGAGUAACGCGUAGGUAACCUGCCUCAUCGCGGGGGAUAACUAUUGGAAACGCUAGCUAAUACCGCAUACUGUGAGAUGCACCUGCGGUGUAUGAGCUAGUUGGUGAGGUAAAGGCUCACCAAGGCGACGAUACAUAGCCGACCUGAGAGGGUGAUCGGCCACACGGGGACUGAGACACGGUCCAGACUCCUACGGGAGGCAGCAGUGGGGAAUAUUUGACAAUGGGCGCAAGCCUGAUGCAGCCAUGCCGCGUGUAUGAAGAAGGCCUUCGGGUUGUAAAGUACUUUCAGCGAGGAGCGUUACUCGCAGAGGAAGCACCGGCUAACUCCGUGCCAGCAGCCGCGGUAAUAC
rnacentral:rRNA from 1 species